GACGAACGCUGGCGGCGUGCUUAACACAUGCAAGUCGAACGGAAAGGCCCUGCUUUUGUGGGGUGCUCGAGUGGCGAACGGGUGAGUAACACGUGAGUAACCUGCCCUUGACUUUGGGAUAACUUCAGGAAACUGGGGCUAAUACCGGAUAGGUGCUCCUGCUGCAUGGUGGGGGUUGGAAAGUUUCGGCGGUUGGGGAUGGACUCGCGGCUUAUCAGCUUGUUGGUGGGGUAGUGGCUUACCAAGGCUUUGACGGGUAGCCGGCCUGAGAGGGUGACCGGCCACAUUGGGACUGCGAUACGGCCCAGACUCCUACGGGAGGCAGCAGUGGGGAAUAUUGCACAAUGGGCGGAAGCCUGAUGCAGCAACGCCGCGUGCGGGAUGACGGCCUUGGGGUUGUAAACCGCUUUCGCCUGUGACGAAGCGUGAGUGACGGUAAUGGGUAAAGAAGCACCGGCUAACUACGUG
rnacentral:rRNA from 1 species